GGCCACACCCGGACCCCAUCGAGGUGAUGCGGGCGCAACGGAUCAUGGAGCGUGUGCAGGAGGAACAGCGCCGCUGGUACGGCGUCAAGGAGCCGGGGCAGGUGCUCGCCGUCACCCCGACCUACUCACGCGCGUUCCAGGCGCUCCACCUCACCGGCCUCCUCCACUCACUCCGUCGGAAUCCUUGCGCAUACUGGCAAGGCAGACCAACUGCUGCUCAGCGAGGAGGACAAGCAGAAUAUGCCUCUUCCAGUCCAUGGCCCUGCUUGCAAGUCCUCAGGGCAUCUGAUUGGAUGGCACACGUUCAACUCAUUGCCCUUCUCUAGGAAGACGGCCACAGUUGUUGGUGAAGCAGCCCCUAUUCUGCCCAGGGAUUUCUAGUGGGCUAGUUUUGUGUUGAACUCGAGGAUGCUGUGGAAGGAGGCUGACGGCAAGCCUGACUGGGUGAAGGAUCUUGAUGCUGUGGGCGAGAAUGGCGAGGAGAUUGAGAACCCACUUACUCAGUUGAAUGAUCCGUCCUCUGUUGAGCCACUGGGCAACUGUGGGAAGAAGGUCAUAUUGUGGUGGCUUCGUGUUGAAGCACGGGCUGAUAGCAAGUUUCCUGAAUGGAAACAGGCACUAUCUUUACUCAUCACCAGAAGACAAUGAUCUUGGAUGCUGAUGCUGGGAAUCAUAGAAGGAAGAUCGUUGCUUUCGUGGGAGGACAUGAUCUAUGUGGAAGCCGAUAUGAUACACCAAAGCACACUCUAUUUCGAACUCUUCAGACAUUUCACAAGGAAGACUACUACACCCAAAUUUUGCGGUUGAAGAUGCUCGCGGCCCAAGAGAGCCAUGGCAUGACUUGCAUUCCAAGAUCGACGGUCCAGAAGCAUACGAUGUCCUGAAAAACUUUGAGGAGCGCUGGUUAAAGGCAUCAAAGCGCAGUGCCGCUAAGAAACUGUCAAAAUUGUCGAGGUCGCAUAAUGAUUCGCUGCUGUGGAUCAACAAGAUACCUGAUAUUAUUUCUAUUGACGACGAAAUCUAUUCAAAUGACGAUGAUCCAGAGAGAUGGGACAUGCAGAUUUUCCGAUCAAUUGAUUCGAAUUCUGUCAAGGGUUUUCCAAAAGAUCCACGGGAGGCCACUAGUAAGAAUCUUGUUUGUGGGAAAAUGUACUGAUUGAUAUGAGCGUGCAUACAACAUAUGUGAAUGCCAUCCGAGGUGCUCAACAUUUCAUCUAUAUUGAGAACCAGUACUUCCUUGGCUCUUCAUUUAACUGGGAUUCACAUAGAGAUGUUGAAAAUGACAAUGCAAAUUAUGUAUGAGAUAAUCUAUAAGGCCAUGAAAGAAGUAGGACUAGAUGGUACAUAUGAGCCACAGGAUUACCUGAAUUUCUUCUGCCUUGGUAACCGUGAAGCCGAGGACACUACUUGCACAUCUAGUGGACCAUUCUCAACCAGUAACCCACAGCUUGGAUAUCCAAUCAGGACCAAGCUCGGAAUAAUAGGAGAUUCAUGGUGUAUGUGCACUCGAAAGGCAUGAUUGUGGAUGAUGAAUAUGUGAUAAUUGGAUCCGCUAACAUCAACCAGAGAUCCAUGGAAGGAACUAGAGAUACAGAGAUUGCAAUGGCUGCAUACCAACCCCAGCAUACAUUGGCAAAUAUGCUUUCUGCUCCUCGUGGAUAGAUUUUCGGGUACAGGAAAAUACAGUGUACGUGUUGAAACUGUUAUCCUGCCCCAGGUUGGGAUAGACGGUGGUACAUUCGUGUUGGUAGAACUGUGAGAAGAAAAGAUGGGAAAACUUUGCUUUCUUGGCUGUGAUGAUUAUCUGCUCAAACAAGACAUGCAAAUUGCAAAACUCUUAAAGGAUAGUAUUAGUUCUAUUUGUUCAUAUAGUUCUACAGCUAGUUGUUUCUUGCUUUGUUCAUGGAUUGCAAUACUGGAUAAGAUCAUGAUGGAUGUUGUGUGUGUUUUAAUCACCAUUUCUAAAAUUUAUUCUAUUGGUAAGACGAUUCUAAGAUAUAGGUCGGAGAUGGAUUCCUUGCAUAUACAUAAAUAGAUAAAGAAGCAACCGGUUUAUAACAAAAAUAUGUCUUCUAUUUUGCCUGUUGCCCAAUUCUCUUUUAGUGUAGCCUACUUACAAUAAUUAAAAGAAGAGUUGGUGUCUGUUUGAGUAGACAACUAAGUGCAUAUAUAAGUACGUGCAUGAUUUUGAUUACUAAUUGUGAUUUUGAUGAUCUUUCUUUUGAAGACGGUCUAACAUAUAAGCGCAUGAUUUAGAUGAACGGAAUUACUAUUGUGCCAUUUCUGAAGAAUCUUACUGAUUUCUCUUGCCUUCUUAGAACAACAUGGGAAGAAGUGAUGAUGACAGUCCAUCGCCGCCAAGAGGUCACAAGAGAAGAACUUGCAGCCCAAGUCCUCGUGGUAGUUAUGGAGGCCAUGGCAAGCGCCCCACAACUAAUCUUAUGGUGACGAAUCUUGGUCCGGAUUGUAGGAUUCUAACUCUCAUCAAGUGACUCCUCCCCUCACGAUGACUUUGCGGACAGAUGUCUCAAUUAUAGUGGUGGAGCUACGAACAACAAUCCGAUGUCCUGAUCGAGAGCGAUGGAGCUAAUGUUUGAACUUGUGUGUUUGAACUUGUGAACUAAAAAUGUGAACUAUGGAUGUGAAUUUAUGUGAAUUUGUGAAAUU